rnacentral:rRNA from 1 species
GACGAACGCUGGCGGCGUGCUUAACACAUGCAAGUCGAACGGAAAGGCCCUGCUUUUGUGGGGUGCUCGAGUGGCGAACGGGUGAGUAACACGUGAGUAACCUGCCCUUGACUUUGGGAUAACUUCAGGAAACUGGGGCUAAUACCGGAUAGGAGCUCCUGCUGCAUGGUGGGGGUUGGAAAGUUUCGGCGGUUGGGGAUGGACUCGCGGCUUAUCAGCUUGUUGGUGGGGUAGUGGCUUACCAAGGCUUUGACGGGUAGCCCGCCUGAGAGGGUGACCGGCCACAUUGGGACUGAGGUACGGACCAGACUCCUACGGGAGGCAGCAGUGGGGAAUAUUGCACAAUGGGCGGAAGCCUGAUGCAGCAACGCCGCGUGCGGGAUGACGGCCUUCGGGUUGUAAACCGCUUUCGCCUGUGACGAAGCGUGAGUGACGGUAAUGGGUAAAGAAGCACCGGCUAACUACGUG